UCACACCACAGCAAUGCAGCUUCUGGAAACCCAUUGUGACAGUGCAGGGGGCCUGGAACGUUCCUGUGACUGGCUCUGGUGGGUGAGGCCUGCUGAGGCAUGUAGGUGACCAAGCAGUGCCCCCAAGGUCAGCUAAAGGGAUGGCUUUUAUCAUCCGCUGGUGAAAACUGAUGAACUGGUACUGAAUGUGACUGCGGUACCUCCUGGAAGACCAAGCGUCUCUAACCUGCUCCCGGGUCAGCAGCUCCCGGGCCUUGGAGGCUGCCUCUGAGUGCUCAGCAGGCUCACCCACGGACUUCCUGCUCUCUCAUGCCACCACGCCUUAGUCAAAGACUUUUACAUGCUUCCCUGCUCCUGCUAUUGAACGUGGCUUGGGACUGCUAUGGAGCUCACUCUGGCCCAUUUUUCACCAUCAUGUAACUGACUCAGCCUUUCAAUUUCCACUCCAAAUUCCUCUGCCUGGUGGAUUUCUGUCUCUGUAAUAACUAAAUGUGGCUGGCCAGACUUGGGAGUGGUGGGACAGAAUCAUAAAGAACCCUAGACUGUUCCUCCUAGAGGUGUGGGUAAAGCAGAUUCUCGAAGGAAGGAGGUUCACACGUACAUGCUCUACUUGCUUUAUCUGUCUAACAUAUCUCCCAGAUGUUUGCAAAAUCCGUGGACCUGAGUUAUAAUGACGUGUGCUGCUAAUAGAUGGUAUCAUUUAGCAUGCAAAGUAGUACACUUCCCUAAAUUUCAGUGCUUAUUUCACUCGAUGUGCCAAUCAGCUGCCUCAUUUGGGCUCCUGAAGAACCAGAAUUUUCAGCUCCGCUGGCCUGGAUUCCUUGUCUCGUCAGCACAAUCCUCUGCUGCUCCAGAGUUUGGCUAUUGCGGGAACUCAGCUUCUGUUCAUCUUUCCUGCCCCUGCUCUCAUCAAGCCUGACUUUGUCAUUCAAGUGGAAGAUUUGACUGGCCAGCCAAUUCCAACCUACUAGUGUCCUCCAGCUGUCUAUGGGUGGGACCACUGUCUACAAAGUGACCACAUGCCAGAGCUUAUAGACUGGGGUCCCACCUUUGUCCAGGGAAUGUGGCCCAGCCAACUGUUUUGGGAUGUUUGUGACAACUGUGCAAAUUAUGGCCACUUUUUCCAUAAGAAAUUGUACAUGUGGCCAACACUCAGAGCGUUAUAUCUCUUAAACAGGUUUAGUAGUUCAGUGUUAAAUUAUUUUCUAAUUUUGUAAAAUUGGUAGUGAAUCUUAUAUGUAAACUCUAUUAACUUGAAUUUUAUGUCAGAACACUACCUAUCAUGGGUGUCAGUGGAUACUUAAUAAUUGCUAACUUUAUUAAGUACUUACCAUUGCAAAUAUAUCUCCUUUAAAUUUAACAAGUACUCUGUGAGUAAGAUACUUUUAUCCCCAUUUCACGGGUAAAGAAACUAAGGCUCAGGGAGGUUUAUCAACUUGCCUAAAGUCACAUGAUUAAGUCGUUCAACCAGAAUGUGAACCUAAGUUGGUGAGGUCUCAAAGCCAAG
rnacentral:lncRNA from 1 species